GGAGUUAGCCGGUGCUUCUUCUGCGAGUAACGUCACAGAUGUAAGGUAUUAACUUACACCCUUUCCUCCUCGCUGAAAGUGCUUUACAACCCGAAGGCCUUCUUCACACACGCGGCAUGGCUGCAUCAGGGUUUCCCCCAUUGUGCAAUAUUCCCCACUGCUGCCUCCCGUAGGAGUCUGGGCCGUGUCUCAGCCCCAGUGUGGCUGAUCAUCCUCUCAGACCAGCUAGGGAUCGUCGCCUAGGUGAGCCUUUACCUCACCUACUAGCUAAUCCCACCUGGGCUUAUCCAUCAGCGCAAGGCCCGAAGGUCCCCUGCUUUCCCCCGUAGGGCGUAUGCGGUAUUAGCAGUCGUUUCCAACUGUUAUCCCCCACAAAUGGGCAAAUUCCCAGGCAUUACUCACCCGUCCGCCGCUCGUCAUCUUCAAAAGCAAGCUUUUGAAAUGUUACCGCUCGACUUGCAUGUGUUAGGCCUGCCGCCAGCGUUCAAUCUGAGCCAGAAUCAAACUCUGA
rnacentral:rRNA from 1 species